GACUCUGUAGCUCAGUUGGUUUAUAGACGGCUGCACCGGAAUUGCAGGGCUGCAGGUUCAAUUCCUGCCAGAGGAA